rnacentral:tRNA from 1 species
GCCGGGGUAGCUCAGUUGGCAGAGCACCGCAUUCGUAAUGCGGGGGUCGGAGGUUCGACUCCUCUCUCCGGCACCA